rnacentral:rRNA from 1 species
CCUACGGGAGGCAGCAGUGAGGAAUAUUGGUCAAUGGGAGAGAUCCUGAACCAGCCAAGCCGCGUGAGGGAAGACGGCCCUAGGGGUUGUAAACCUCUUUUGUCGGAGAACAAGACCCGGGACGUGUCCCGGACUGCGUGUAUCCGAAGAAAAAGCAUCGGCUAACUCCGUGCCAGCAGCCGCGGUAAUACGGAGGAUGCGAGCGUUAUCCGGAUUUAUUGGGUUUAAAGGGUGCGUAGGCGGUCCGUUAAGUCAGCGGGAAAAUUGCGGGGCUAAACCCCGUCGAGCCGUUGAAACUGGCAGACUUGAGUUGGCGAGAAGUACGCGGAAUGCGCGGUGUAGCGGUGAAAUGCAUAGAUAUCGCGCAGAACUCCGAUUGCGAAGGCAGCGUACCGGAGCCAGACUGACGCUGAGGCACGAAAGCGUGGGGAUCGAACAGGAUUAGAUACCCGUGUAGUC